GCCCCUUCAGAAGGGAACUGGAGUCCCUUGGCUGCUUUGUGAAGAAAAAAAGAGUUAGUGCUCUGAGGAGGUGCCCAUGAGAAAUACCAAGAAGAUAUGAAACUUUUGUGAUAAGAAGACAGCAGUAUGGAACCCCUGCAAUAAGAUGACAACAUACAUUUGUGAGCAGUUAAUGCCUUUUAUGUACACAUGAAAGCUACAAUAUUCAGCAUGAAAACAAAUGGCCGAAGAGGCGAGACUGCUAAGAGUGGGAGAACUGAGAUGAUCUGCCAUAAUCAAACAGAGCCUCCUCUUCAACCUUUGGAUCACCAGUGACACCUAGCAACUAUUCAACGUGGUUCCAGACCACCUGUAGAAAGCCUCAGCACUCCAAAACUUACACACCACCAGAGGAGGAUCAGAUAUGAUACAGAGGGUCUGCAUUUCAGAGUUAGGCUCCAAGAUAAAUAGCUGGUGCCAGGAUAGCUUCUGUUCAUCUCACAAGAACGUCAACUCCAUGUGGCUUACAGAGCACAUGAAUAUUUACAUCAUACAGCCAUUACCUUCUGAAACAGAGAGCUCGGCCAGUUUGUGUGGCAGGUCCGAAGUCCCAGCACCAGCAGGAGAGCCCAGGAUAUCUGGUAAGGCGUUUCGGCGGCCUGACCGUCCUGAUGAGGCAAAAUCUG